rnacentral:lncRNA from 1 species
AAAUUAAAACAAGUAUUGUAUGUACUGUGUUAUAAUUUAAAACGCUUAAUUAUGUUAGUCCUAAAAAGAUUAAGCCCAAAAGAGAUAUACUUGUUUACAGUGCAAAUUAAUGGCAAUAGGGAUUUACGAUUUCAUUUGCAGGAAAAACAUGGGCAACCUACCCAGUUGGUAAAAUUUCAAUUCAAAAACUCUUUAGAUUUUACUGUGUGGAUGGCACAGGAAGAGAAACAAAAUAAUAUUCAGUACUGCAGUCACAGGAGUACAAAAACAUGAAGCAUCUUAUUAUGUAUGUAUGCCAUUCUCAAACAAUAAUUAUUGUACAAAACAAGAUAAAGACACAGCUUUAAAAUCCCAAGGAUCCUGCGAAAAGAAAAGUGAAAAUGUCUCAAUUAAUGUAGUAUAGAUAGACAUUUUUCUUUAUUUUAGUAUUAAAUAAUUAUUUAGAAUAUUAAUAUGUAUUAGUUUUAAUAGUAUUCAUAUGUAUUAGUUUUAAUAGUAUUAAUAUGUAUUGUAUGAAUAAUUCCCAUCAUGUAUCUGCUAACUAAAGCAACAAAAUAAAUCAAAAUGAAAAAACAUUUCAGUGACGUAGCACCUUUACUUUACCUGGCGGCGAGGUGAGUUAUUAGGUAAAUUCUAUUUUCUUACAUAAUAUACUUAAAAAUUAAUGGUGGUAUUAUUGUGGUUUAUAUUGAAAGCUAAAGCAAUUAAAAUAAUUUUUUCUGUUAAUUAUUUAACACAUUCACAGACACGACUGCAUAUGAAGUCAUUUGCUCCAUAAGAAGACGUGGCUACAGGCAAAGCGUGUCCGUAAAUGUGUUAAUAAUAAUAAUUUUACAUCUAUUGUGUUACACAUACAUUUUACUAUUAAAGACAAUUAUGAAAAUGUCAAAAACGCCCACAAAGUGGCUUUAAGUUUUAUUACACAGUAUGUGGACUUCAAAUAGGACGAUUAUGUUAAGUAUGAGCAGAACAAAGACUAACAAUUAAUGUUUUAUUGUCAUAGGUUGUCUUUUUUCAUUAUAUUUAAUGCAGCUUU